GACGAACGCUGGCGGCGUGCUUAACACAUGCAAGUCGAACGGAAAGGCCCUGCUUUUGUGGGGUGCUCGAGUGGCGAACGGGUGAGUAACACGUGAGUAACCUGCCCUUGACUUUGGGAUAACUUCAGGAAACUGGGGCUAAUACCGGAUAGGAGCUCCUGCUGCAUGGUGGGGGUUGGAAAGUUUCGGCGGUUGGGGAUGGACUCGCGGCUUAUCAGCUUGUUGGUGGGGUAGUGGCUUACCAAGGCUUUGACGGGUAGCCGGCCUGAGAGGGUGACCGGCCACAUUGGGACUGAGAUACGGCCCAGACUCCUACGGGAGGCAGCAGUGGGGAAUAUUGCACAAUGGGCGGAAGCCUGAUGCAGCAACGCCGCGUGCGGGAUGACGGCCUUCGGGUUGUAAACCGCUUUCGCCUGUGACGAAGCGUGAGUGACGGUAAUGGGUAAAGAAGCACCGGCUAACUACGUGCCAGCAGCCGCGGUGAUACGUAGGGUGCGAGCGUUGUCCGGAUUUAUUGGGCGUAAAGGGCUCGUAGGUGGUUGAUCGCGUCGGAAGUGUAAUCUUGGGGCUUAACCCUGAGCGUGCUUUCGAUACGGGUUGACUUGAGGAAGGUAGGGGAGAAUGGAAUUCCUGGUGGAGCGGUGGAAUGCGCAGAUAUCAGGAGGAACACCAGUGGCGAAGGCGGUUCUCUGGGCCUUUCCUGACGCUGAGGAGCGAAAGCGUGGGGAGCGAACAGGCUUAGAUACCCUGGUAGUCCACGCUGUAAACGGUGGGUACUAGGUGUGGGGUCCAUUCCACGGGUUCCGUGCCGUAGCUAACGCUUUAAGUACCCCGCCUGGGGAGUACGGCCGCAAGGCUAAAACUCAAAGGAAUUGACGGGGCCCCGCACAAGCGGCGGAGCAUGCGGAUUAAUUCGAUGCAACGCGUAGAACCUUACCUGGGUUUGACAUGGAUCGGGAGUGCUCAGAGAUGGGUGUGCCUCUUUUGGGGUCGGUUCACAGGUGGUGCAUGGCUGUCGUCAGCUCGUGUCGUGAGAUGUUGGGUUAAGUCCCGCAACGAGCGCAACCCUUGUUCACUGUUGCCAGCACGUUAUGGUGGGGACUCAGUGGAGACCGCCGGGGUCAACUCGGAGGAAGGUGGGGAUGACGUCAAGUCAUCAUGCCCCUUAUGUCCAGGGCUUCACGCAUGCUACAAUGGCUGGUACAGAGAGUGGCGAGCCUGUGAGGGUGAGCGGAUCUCGGAAAGCCGGUCUCAGUUCGGAUUGGGGUCUGCAACUCGACCUCAUGAAGUCGGAGUCGCUAGUAAUCGCAGAUCAGCAACGCUGCGGUGAAUACGUUCCCGGGGC
rnacentral:rRNA from 1 species